rnacentral:rRNA from 1 species
UCAUACGGAGAAAGAACCAACAGGGAUGCCUCAGUACGGCGAGUGAGCGGCAACAGCUCAAAUUUUAAAUCUGACUCUCGGGUCCGAGUUGUAAUUUGCCAGAGGAUGUUUCGGGUAAGAUUAGGCCUAAGUUCCUUGGAACAGGACGUCACAGAGGGUGAGAAUCCCGUACGUGGCUGUUGAUCGCACCCAUGUGAAACUCCUUCGAUGAGUCGAGUUGUUUGGGAAUGCAGCUCAAAAUGGGUGGUAAAUUUCAUCUAAAGCUAAAUAUUGGCCGGAGACCGAUAGCGCACAAGUAGAGUGAUCGAAAGAUGAAAAGCACUUUGAAAAGAGAGUUAAAAAGCAUGUGAAAUUGUUGAAAGGGAAGCGCUUGCCGCCAGACUUGUGGGUAGGGUUCAGCCGUCGUUCUCGUCGGUGUAUUUCCCUACUUCCGGGCCAGCAUCAGUUCGGGCGGAAGGUUAAAGGUUUCGGGAAUGUGACUUCCUCCGGGUCGUUUUAUAGCCCGGGACAUAAUCCUUCCCGCCUGGACUGAGGAAUGCGUUUUCUAGGAUGCUGGCGUAAUGGUUGCAAGCGACCCGUCUUGAAACACGGACCAAGGAGUCUAACAUCUAUGCGAGUAUUUGGGUGUCAAACCCCUAUGCGCAAUGAAAGUGAACGGAGGUGGGAGCUUCGGCGCACCAUCGACCGAUCCUGAUGUCUUCGGAUGGAUUUGAGUAAGAGCAUAGCUGUUGGGACCCGAAAGGUAUGUAUUUAUCAUUUCUUUAAUCUGCUCCUUCCUCAGUUAAGAGUCCGUGCUAACAAUGUUGGAUAUAGAUGGUGAACUAUGCCUGAAUAGGGUGAAGCCAGAGGAAACUCUGGUGGAGGCUCGCAGCGGUUCUGACGUGCAAAUCGAUCGUCAAAUUUGGGUAUAGGGUAAGUUACAAGUAUUUAAUGUUAAUGAAAUGAACGGAUGGCUAACAGUUCAUUAU